UACGAAGGGGGCUAGCGUUGCUCGGAAUUACUGGGCGUAAAGCGCACGUAGGCGGAUUGCUAAGUCAGGGGUGAAAUCCCGGGGCUCAACCUCGGAACUGCCUUUGAUACUGACAAUCUCGAGUCCGAUAGAGGUGGGUGGAAUUCCUAGUGUAGAGGUGAAAUUCGUAGAUAUUAGGAAGAACACCGGUGGCGAAGGCGGCCCACUGGAUCGGUACUGACGCUGAGGUGCGAAAGCGUGGGGAGCAAACAGG
rnacentral:rRNA from 1 species